rnacentral:rRNA from 1 species
ACGCACGCUGGCGGCAUGCCUAACCCCUGCCAGUCGCACGAGACCUUCGGGUCUAGUGGCGCACGGGUGCGUAACGCGUGGGAACCUGCCCUUAGGUUCGGAAUAACUCCCCGCAAGGGGUGCUAAUACCGGAUAAUGUCUUCGGACCAAAGAUUUAUCGCCUUUGGAUGGGCCCGCGUUGGAUUAGCUAGUUGGUAGGGUAAAAGCCUACCAAGGCGACGAUCCAUAGCUGGUCUGAGAGGAUGAUCAGCCACACUGGGACUGAGACACGGCCCAGACUCCUACGGGAAGCAGCAGUGGGGAAUAUUGGACAAUGGGCGAAAGCCUGAUCCAGCAAUGCCGCGUGAGUGAUGAAGGCCUUAGGGUUGUAAAGCUCUUUUACCCGGGAUGAUAAUGACAGUACCGGGAGAAUAAGCGCCGGCUAACUCCGUG